UGCCUAAUACAUGCAAGUCGAGCGAGCUUGCCUAGAUGAAUUUGGUGCUUGCACCAAAUGAAACUAGAUACAAGCGAGCGGCGGACGGGUGAGUAACACGUGGGUAACCUGCCCAAGAGACUGGGAUAACACCUGGAAACAGAUGCUAAUACCGGAUAACAACACUAGACGCAUGUCUAGAGUUUAAAAGAUGGUUCUGCUAUCACUCUUGGAUGGACCUGCGGUGCAUUAGCUAGUUGGUAAGGUAACGGCUUACCAAGGCAAUGAUGCAUAGCCGAGUUGAGAGACUGAUCGGCCACAUUGGGACUGAGACACGGCCCAAAC
rnacentral:rRNA from 1 species